ensembl:ncRNA F45E4.17 ncRNA
GCAAACAAGACUUUUGAUUGAGGACACAAAAAGAGCCGUCCGUUGGUCAUCACAACGAGGGCGGUGCUAUGACAAGGAGCACAGCAGUGCACCAUGUCGUGCUCCGAUGCACUUGCUCAACGGGGAGGAAGACUGUACAUACACAC